rnacentral:rRNA from 1 species
CCAGACUCCUACGGGAGGCAGCAGCGAGGAAUAUUGGUCAAUGGGCGGGAGCCUGAACCAGCCAAGUCGCGUGAGGGAAGACGGUCCUACGGAUUGUAAACCUCUUUUGCCGGGGAGCAACGGGGUCCUUGCGAGGGCCCGAUGAGGGCACCCGGAGAAAAAGCAUCGGCUAACUCCGUGCCAGCAGCCGCGGUAAUACGGAGGAUGCGAGCGUUAUCCGGAUUUAUUGGGUUUAAAGGGUGCGUAGGCGGAAUAUCAAGUCAGCGGUAAAAAGUCGGGGCUCAACCCCGUCGUGCCGUGGAAACUGAUGUUCGUGAGUGGGCGAGAAGUAUGCGGAAUGCGUGGUGUAGCGGUGAAAUGCAUAGAUAUCACGCAGAACUCCGAUUGCGAAGGCAGCAUACCGGCGCCCAACUGACGCUGAAGCACGAAAGCGUGGGUAUCGAACAGGAUUAGAUACCCCUGUAU